UACGGAGGGGGCAAGCGUUAUCCGGAUUUACUGGGCUUAAAGGGUGCGUAGGUGGGUUGAUAAGUCAGUGGUGAAAUCCCCGAGCUUAACUUGGGAACUGCCAUUGAUACUAUUGAUCUUGAAUACCGUGGAGGUCAGCGGAAUAUGUCAUGUAGCGGUGAAAUGCUUAGAUAUGACAUAGAACACCAAUUGCGAAGGCAGCUGGCUACGCGAAUAUUGACACUGAUGCACGAAAGCGUGGGGAUCAAACAGG
rnacentral:rRNA from 1 species